CCUACGGGAGGCAGCAGUGAGGAAUAUUGGUCAAUGGACGCAAGUCUGAACCAGCCAUGCCGCGUGCAGGAAGACGGCUCUAUGAGUUGUAAACCGCUUUUGUACGGGGGUAAUCGCAGCUACGCGUCUCUUUAUGAAUGUAUCGUAUGAAUAAGGAUCGGCUAACUCCGUGCCAGCAGCCGCGGUAAUACGGAGGAUUCAAGCGUUAUCCGGAUUUAUUGGGUUUAAAGGGUGCGUAGGCGGUCGUGUAAGUUAGAGGUGAAAACCCGAGGCUCAACUUCGGAAUUGCCUCUGAUACUGUUCGGCUAGAGAGCAGUUGAGGUAGGCGGAAUGAAUGGUGUAGCGGUGAAAUGCUUAGAGAUCAUACAGAACACCGAUUGCGAAGGCAGCUUACCAAGCUACUUCUGACGUUGAGGCACGAAAGCGUGGGUAGCAAACAGGAUUAGAUACCCCGGUAGUC
rnacentral:rRNA from 1 species